UCGCGGCCCUCUACAGCUUGUUGGUGAGGUAGUGGCUCACCAAGGCGACGACGGGUAGCCGGCCUGAGAGGGCGACCGGCCACACUGGGACUGAGACACGGCCCAGACUCCUACGGGAGGCAGCAGUGGGGAAUAUUGCACAAUGGGCGAAAGCCUGAUGCAGCGACGCCGCGUGAGGGAUGACGGCCUUCGGGUUGUAAACCUCUUUCAGCAGGGAAGAAGCGAGAGUGACGGUACCUGCAGAAGAAGCGCCGGCUAACUACGUGCCAGCAGCCGCGGUAAUACGUAGGGCGCAAGCGUUGUCCGGAAUUAUUGGGCGUAAAGAGCUCGUAGGCGGCUUGUCACGUCGGUUGUGAAAGCCCGGGGCUUAACCCCGGGUCUGCAGUCGAUACGGGCAGGCUAGAGUUCGGUAGGGGAGAUCGGAAUUCCUGGUGUAGCGGUGAAAUGCGCAGAUAUCAGGAGGAACACCGGUGGCGAAGGCGGAUCUCUGGGCCGAUACUGACGCUGAGGAGCGAAAGCGUGGGGAGCGAACAGGAUUAGAUACCCUGGUAGUCCACGCCGUAAACGGUGGGCACUAGGUGUGGGCAACAUUCCACGU
rnacentral:rRNA from 1 species